UUUGUUUUUUUGCUGUAAGAAUAGUGAGGCCUGCAAAUGAUGAGGUGCCUGGACCCACAAAGCGCCUUAAAGACUGGAGCAGAAAGCGCGUAAUUCCUAAAUGGCUUCCAGACCGGCUUCCCCUCUGCCGCCGUCCUCCUUUCCUGCUGGUUAUUAUUGCUUUGGACACCCUCCAGGGGCUGGGGGGACGAGAGGCUCCUCUUCCCCAGGCCCUUUUUAAAAGAGCAGUUGUGUUUCGUGCUUUUGGCAGAGAUUGGGUUUCAUAGGUGUCUGUAGGGGAGCCCUCCACAGCUCCUUGGUUCCGUCUGACUCAGGGCAGCCCCUUCAGCAGCAGGUAGGCCAGGCUCCUGCUGGGUUUGCCUUUAGCCUGCCUGCCACGGAUGGUGCCAGUGACAGCCGGGGGCCUCAUUCUGCCUUGAUUUCCGCCAAGUAAUUCUUUUCACAAAUGUUCAAGGGCUGUUAACUGGUUGCUGAGCCCAGAGUCCCCUCACGGCCUCUGGGUUUCUCCAGAAACUGCCACAAUGGGCCUUUAUCAGCUCGGGAUUCUCUGGGCCUUGGAUCAAAAGCUGUGUCCUGUCCUGGCCAGGGAAGGCACAGAACAGGGACUCUCCCCUCUGGCUGCUUUGGUCAGGCUGAAUAGUUCCCUUGUUUGGGCUCUGAGGGGUCGCUCACUAAGAAAGCAGUGGACCUUGGACAGGGAGGAGAGAGAAAAACCCUCAAAGGGUCGCCAUUUUCCUUCCUUCUGCUAGUUUUACACCAAUCCUGCCAGUGUGGAUGGAUGGGGGAGGAGCUGUGUUUGGUCAUCCCCAGGCCAUUCCAGCAAUCAGCUGGGGGGACACGCAGUUAGGACCUCCCCGUGACCUUUGCCGUCUGCCAGUCAUUGUGGGACAAGCAGCCCAGCCACGUGAAAACAACCUGGGUGAGAGGCUUGCGGAGGCUGUAACCUAUUUCCCUGCCUCUCCCAGGCCUUCCGUUCAUCCUACACACCCCUCCAGACUUCAUUUUCCUAAAACAGAUCUCAUCCCCUCCCUCCUGAAAACCCUCGCUCACUACCUUUCUGGUCCAACUUUACGUUUUACUGUUUGCCUUCGCCUCACUACCUAGUGGUUCCCACGGGGUGGGGAGUGUUGUUUGAAAAUGCAAGGAAAGGGACAGUGGCUACCGGCAGGAGGGCAGGGGAGGGGAGUGGCAGGGAUGC
rnacentral:lncRNA from 1 species